rnacentral:rRNA from 1 species
GACGAACGCUGGCGGCGUGCUUAACACAUGCAAGUCGAACGCUGAAGCCUAGCUUGCUGGGUGGAUGAGUGGCGAACGGGUGAGUAACACGUGAGUAACCUGCCCUCUUCUUUGGGAUAACGCCCGGAAACGGGUGCUAGUACUGGAUAUUCACUGAUCUUCGCAUGGGGGUUGGUGGAAAGGUUUUUUCUGGUGGGGGAUGGGCUCGCGGCCUAUCAGCUUGUUGGUGGGGUGAUGGCCUACCAAGGCUUUGACGGGUAGCCGGCCUGAGAGGGUGACCGGUCACAUUGGGACUGAGAUACGGCCCAGACUCCUACGGGAGGCAGCGGUGGGGAAUAUUGCACAAUGGGCGAAAGCCUGAUGCAGCGACGCCGCGUGAGGGAUGGAGGCCUUCGGGUUGUAAACCUCUUUCGCUCAUGGUCAAGCCGCAGCUUUGGGUUGUGGUGAGGGUAGUGGGUAAAGAAGCGCCGGCUAACUACGUGCCAGCAGCCGCGGUAAUACGUAGGGCGCGAGCGUUGUCCGGAAUUAUUGGGCGUAAAGGGCUUGUAGGCGGUUGGUCGCGUCUGCCGUGAAAUCCUCUGGCUUAACUGGGGGCGUGCGGUGGGUACGGGCUGACUUGAGUGCGGUAGGGGAGACUGGAACUCCUGGUGUAGCGGUGGAAUGCGCAGAUAUCAGGAAGAACACCGGUGGCGAAGGCGGGUCUCUGGGCCGUUACUGACGCUGAGGAGCGAAAGCGUGGGGAGCGAACAGG